rnacentral:tRNA from 1 species
GGGGCCGUAGUUCAAUUGGGAGAACGCAACGUUCGCAACGUUGAGGUCGGCGGUUCGAUCCCGCCCGGCUCCA